UUUCAUUCUGAAAAUUCUUUUCACACCAAGAGCGCCUUUGAAAGUUGACACCAGUGUUAAGUUGAGCAUCUCGCGACUCAGAGGUGAGCGAUGAUUAACACAACUCUGUGCGCACCUAAUAUAUCCGCCAGCUCACACCGCACUAUAUUUAUAAGAGCACCUACAUCAGCGGAGGAUCAGGUUCAAAUUAUAGGCGCAACAGACGCCAUUUUAAAACGGCUUCGGCUGAUUAUCUAGCGUGAAAGGAUAUAUUGACGAAUUGAAGUCAUGCUGAAAUCACAAGGAGAAACCCUAUCGUUAAUCACAAUCCUUGUUGUGGAACUACUGAUAAGAACCGAGGUAAGCGAGAUGAUAUAAAUGCGAGAGCGUAUUCGCCGUCAUAACAGCGCGAACACUUGACGCACACAUUUCACAACUGCACGUCUGGGCAGAACAUUUCCCAAAGCUAAACACUAUGGUUAACACAGUUCAUUCAGAAUUACAUCACCACAUCAAUG